UGCAGUCUGCUCUUGUCUUUGGCAGUGAAGGCAGCAUACCAGACGGUGAUGGAGCAGGUUAGGAUGGACUCCUAUACUCCACAGCCUGCACUUCGUCCAGCGGUCAGGAUGGUGUGUGAGCUGCUUCUGUCGUCUGUGUGGUUCCUUUUUGUUAUCUUUUGGAUGGAGACGAUCAGCGUAUGGCUCUUCCUAUGUUUCUUCUACCAGGAUAGGGCCUUCUAUCACUGGGGAGAUGGGGUGUUUGCAGAUGACCCUGGACAAAUGCUCUACAUGUUAACCAGAGUGGACCGUUCUGGGGAGAUGCAGACAUGAGUCAAAUGUGCAAGAAAAUGUUGCACGUUUCAAACAACCUAGAAGAAUGGGGUCUUUCAUAUUUCUUUCAAACCAUCUUUUAAGGUAUUCCAUUUCUGAGUCCAUCUUCAUGGACCUGCCUGAAACCCCCUUGGAGAUAAACAGGACCAGAGGACGGACGUUCUGGUUAGAUUAAUGACUGCUGUGGUCACGCCUGUGUGUUUGAUGGAAAGCAGAAAAGGUUAAACAUAAAUACAGACUGUCCUCCUGGAAGCUUUUUCCGCUACACUACAUUAACCAGCCUAUGUUCUCUGCCCUUUUCCAAUAUGGUCAGGGUAUAUACAGUCUCAUUAUAUAUACCUGUGUGUGUAUAUAUAGAUGUUUGAUUUGAAUGUGAAAACAAACAGAAUCAUCUCUAUACUUUGUGAGACAUGAUGUCAACAGCAUCAAACUGAAUUUAGUGAGGCAAACCUCAGAAUGUUUCAGUGGAUCUGUGUAUGAUUUUGGUCAUUUUGUUGAACUUUCAGAUAAUUUUUACCUUGUAGAGACUGUUAAUUUGUAUUUUACUUGCACUCAAGGCUGUUUUGCUUUUAAGCAAUAAAGUUGACAUUUGCUUGGGUGAUGGUCCA
rnacentral:lncRNA from 1 species